rnacentral:tRNA from 1 species
GGGAAUACAGCUCAGUGGUAGAGCUCAUGCUUAGCAUGCACCAGGUCCUGGGUUCAAUCCCCAGUACCUCUG